rnacentral:rRNA from 1 species
AAGCGCCCGAGGCCAGACUCGUGCCCGGCGGAUCAGCUGGCGUUCUCGCCAGUGCACUCCGCCGGCCCGGGCCAGCAUCGGUUUCCCGUCGGGGACAAAGGCGGUGGGAAUGUGGCUCCCUCGGGAGCGUUAUAGCCCGCCGCGUCAUGCCCUUCAGGGGACCGAGGUACGCGCUCCGCAAGGAUGCUGGCGUAAUG